rnacentral:tRNA from 1 species
GGAGGGGUGGCAGAGUGGUCGAAUGCAGACGCCUGAAAAACGUCAGAUUGAUUUUUGGUGAAGUUGAUCCGCGGGUUCGAAUCCCGUCCCCUCCG